CAGUAAACGAAGAAUUUUAGUGAAAUCUGAAUUGCAAACUGUAGACACCACUUCUUUGUUAAAUUUGUUCAUAUUUUUGUAAUUGUGGUUUACUCCAUUACAAAUAUAGAAGGAUUUGGCUCACUAACCCGGAGGGCUGACAAAUGAAUGCCCAAAUAUUCAUAAUGGAGAAAAAUCUGUAGCUUUAGACAAGUCUAAAUAACUAGCAGUCUAGUCAAUGAACCGAAAUGUGUUUUUAUUUGCAUCAUUUUCUGUUCUGGUUUGGGUCUUUUUAAAGUUUUUCACAAAGUGUCUAUGAAUUCUCCCCUAAGGAAUGUUGUAUACUGGCUUUGACCUCUGUAGCAGAAGGAAGCAGUUUCAGAGAGGAUUCUGUACAUAGACCAUAGAUUUUUGGUAACUGUUCACUUGAAAAGGGUUUAAAGGCUUAAAACUCCCAGGGGAGCACAUACCCCGAGAGUUGGUAAUUGUAGGGAUUUUCGCAUUAAAUGUUGCAUUACAGGCAAGAGGUUUGGGAAUAGAAUUUCUUCCUCGCCACAAAAUGCUGCCAUUGCGAGGGCUGAGAAUGCUACAGAGUGUCUUGUGAU